rnacentral:hammerhead_ribozyme from 1 species
AUCCGUCUGACGAGUCCCGAACAGGACGAAACGCGCGUUCUGGAC